rnacentral:rRNA from 1 species
AAAAUUAAAGGUUUAAUCUGCCCAAUGAUAUUUGAAUGGCCGCGGUAACUUGACCGUGCAAAGGUAGCAUAAUUAUUAGUCUUUUAAUUGAAGGCUUGAAUGAAAGAUUGGAUGAAAAAUAAACUUUAUUAACAAGAAUUAUUUAAUUUAUUAUUUAAGUAAAAAUUCUUAAAUAUAUAAGUGGGACGAGAAGACCCUAUAGAGUUUUAUUUUUAUUUGUAUUAUAAGAUUUAAGAAUAAAUAUUUUUAUAGUUUAAAUAAAUUUUUUAUUGGGGUGAUAUUAAAAAUUAUUAAACUUUUAAUUAUUAUAACAUUAAUAUAUGUGUUAUUGAUCCAAAAAUAUUUUGAUUAUAAGAUAUAACUACCUUAGGGAUAACAGCGUUAUUAAUUUGAAGAGUUCAAAUCGAUAAAUUAGUUUGCGACCUCGAUGUUGGAUUAAGAAUAAAUUUUGGAGUAGUGUUUAAAAUUAUAGGUCUGUUCGACCUUUGAAUUCUUACG